GGGAUUCCUGGGAGGUCAGGCAGCAUUUCAGCAACUGGCUCUUGGGGCCUUACCUUGGCGCUACCACAACGGCCACUCUGGGAUGACCGGCAAAAGUUAUGCUGCACUCACUUUGUCGAAAGAAGUGCGGUUGUCAUGCUUGGAGAAGAAGUGUUGCCUUGCUGGUUCCUUGAAAGAAGAUGAGAAGGAAGGGCAUCUGCUGGAUCCAGGCUCAAUAGUCAGCUGUCAACUCCACAUCGUUGUGACAAGGCAUGGCAGAGCAUCUCGAAACACAUCACUGAUGGAUCACCUCCCAAUUCAUUUUCCCUACAGUUCAGGCCACAGCACCUGACAUUGAGAUCCAAUGUUCUCUCUAUUUUUGUUUGUUUGUUAUUUUAAUGUUUUUUU